GACCCAGAACCAGAUGAUAUAGCUCUUAAUCCUGGUUUCUGUCCACAUAUUAAAUUAUGACAUAUACCUAAAGAAGCACCUAGGACCCAGGCAGAAGAGGGACAUCAUCUGAGUGCUGAGCCCUGCGAUACAUCAAAAUUUCAUAGGCAUAGUUCGGGGAAAAAAAAAGAAGAGUCAUGUUAUAUGGAGUCUCGCUCUGCCGCCCAGGUUGGAGUACAGUGGCCGGAUCUCAGCUCACUGCAAGUUCCGCCUCCCAGGUUUACGCCAUUCUCCUGUCUCAGUCUCCCGAGUAGCGACAUUGACAGUUCUUACUGUCUGCUGGGUGAGCACGUGAGAGUCAAAAUUUGACUCUUCUGCUGGGUUCUGUUAUGACAUUCUCUGUACAAUCCAAGGGCUUUAGAAAUAACUAAGGCUGCUAUAAUCUUCUGUGACCUAUUUACUAGAAAGAGAUUUAGUCACUCGUAUUUCUAAAACAAAUUAUGAGAGUCACAAUAACUUCUAUUCUUGGGAUCCACAUAUAAGAAUCAUUAUCAGGCCUGUGAGUUGUGCCUAGGUACAUUUACUCUUUGGUAACGAAGCAGGCAAAACAGUCACAAACCUAAAUGCUUAGGCAAAACAUGUUUUAAUAUUCUCCUUUUAGGCAAAUUCCUGGCAGAAAAAUUGCAUAACUUUGGGGCUACACCCAACUGUAUGGCACAAUGCCCCUUGUGGGCAGUGUCCAGGCAUAUGAGGAGAGUCAGAUCACCUAAAUAAUAGGCCUAGAGAUCUGUCACAAUGUGUUCUGUUUAGAGGUCCAGACACGAGCGUCAUAUUACUUGGAUGCCGUGCUUAGAAAUGCUAUAAUUCCCAGUGGAAGCAGGAUCCAGGCAGGAGAGGAGAGUCAAGUAACCAAGAUGAUAGGUCCAGAGACAUGUUACAAUCCUUCCUGGGGUAUUGUUAAGACAGGAGAGUUAAAUCACAAAGAUGCUUAGCUGAGGUAUAUGUCCAAACCUUAAUUGUGGGUUACACCUAGGCAGAAUCAUGUUAUCACUUAAGAGCUUGGUAAAAGUA